rnacentral:rRNA from 1 species
UACGGAGGGUGCAAGCGUUAUCCGGAUUCACUGGGUUUAAAGGGAGCGUAGGAGGGCAGGUAAGUCAGUGGUGAAAUCUUCGAGCUUAACUCGGAAACUGCCGUUGAUACUAUCUGUCUUGAAUACCGUGGAGAUGAGCGGAAUAUGUCAUGUAGCGGUGAAAUGCUUAGAUAUGACAUAGAACACCAAUUGCGAAGGCAGCUCGUUACACGAAUAUUGACUCUGAGGCUCGAAAGCGUGGGUAGCAAACAGG